rnacentral:rRNA from 1 species
AUGAACGCUAGCUACAGGCUUAACACAUGCAAGUCGAGGGGCAGCAUGGUCUUAGCUUGCUAAGGCCGAUGGCGACCGGCGCACGGGUGAGUAACACGUAUCCAACCUGCCGUCUACUCUUGGACAGCCUUCUGAAAGGAAGAUUAAUACAAGAUGGCAUCAUGAGUCCGCAUGUUCACAUGAUUAAAGGUAUUCCGGUAGACGAUGGGGAUGCGUUCCAUUAGAUAGUAGGCGGGGUAACGGCCCACCUAGUCUUCGAUGGAUAGGGGUUCUGAGAGGAAGGUCCCCCACAUUGGAACUGAGACACGGUCCAAACUCCUACGGGAGGCAGCAGUGAGGAAUAUUGGUCAAUGGGCGAGAGCCUGAACCAGCCAAGUAGCGUGAAGGAUGACUGCCCUAUGGGUUGUAAACUUCUUUUAUAAAGGAAUAAAGUCGGGUAUGCAUACCCGUUUGCAUGUACUUUAUGAAUAAGGAUCGGCUAACUCCGUGCCAGCAGCCGCGGUAAUACGGAGGAUCCGAGCGUUAUCCGGAUUUAUUGGGUUUAAAGGGAGCGUAGAUGGAUGUUUAAGUCAGUUGUGAAAGUUUGCGGCUCAACCGUAAAAUUGCAGUUGAUACUGGAUAUCUUGAGUGCAGUUGAGGCAGGCGGAAUUCGUGGUGUAGCGGUGAAAUGCUUAGAUAUCACGAAGAACUCCGAUUGCGAAGGCAGCCUGCUAAGCUGCAACUGACAUUGAGGCUCGAAAGUGUGGGUAUCAAACAGGAUUAGAUACCCUGGUAGUCCACACGGUAAACGAUGAAUACUCGCUGUUUGCGAUAUACGGCAAGCGGCCAAGCGAAAGCGUUAAGUAUUCCACCUGGGGAGUACGCCGGCAACGGUGAAACUCAAAGGAAUUGACGGGGGCCCGCACAAGCGGAGGAACAUGUGGUUUAAUUCGAUGAUACGCGAGGAACCUUACCCGGGCUUAAAUUGCAGAUGAAUUACGGUGAAAGCCGUAAGCCGCAAGGCAUCUGUGAAGGUGCUGCAUGGUUGUCGUCAGCUCGUGCCGUGAGGUGUCGGCUUAAGUGCCAUAACGAGCGCAACCCUUGUUGUCAGUUACUAACAGGUUCUGCUGAGGACUCUGACAAGACUGCCAUCGUAAGAUGUGAGGAAGGUGUGGAUGACGUCAAAUCAGCACGGCCCUUACGUCCGGGGCUACACACGUGUUACAAUGGGGGGUACAGAGGGCCGCUACCACGCGAGUGGAUGCCAAUCCCCAAAACCUCUCUCAGUUCGGACUGGAGUCUGCAACCCGACUCCACGAAGCUGGAUUCGCUAGUAAUCGCGCAUCAGCCACGGCGCGGUGAAUACGUUCCCGGGCCUUGUACACACCGCCCGUCAAGCCAUGGGAGCCGGGGGUACCUGAAGUGCGUAACCGCGAGGAGCGCCCUAGGGUAAAACUGGUGACUGGGGCU